GAUGAACGCUGGCGGCGUGCCUAAUACAUGCAAGUCGAGCGAACAGAUGAGGAGCUUGCUCCUCUGACGUUAGCGGCGGACGGGUGAGUAACACGUGGAUAACCUACCUAUAAGACUGGGAUAACUUCGGGAAACCGGAGCUAAUACCGGAUAAUAUAUUGAACCGCAUGGUUCAAUAGUGAAAGACGGUUUUGCUGUCACUUAUAGAUGGAUCCGCGCCGCAUUAGCUAGUUGGUAAGGUAACGGCUUACCAAGGCAACGAUGCGUAGCCGACCUGAGAGUGUGAGCCGCCACACUGGAACGGAGACGCGGCACAGACCUCGACGAGGGGCCGCUGUAGGGUAUCCCCCGCAGUGGGCAAACGUGUCACAGCGCAACGCCGCGUGAGUUGAGAAGCUCUUGGGCUCGUAAAUCUCUUAUAUUGGAGAAGAACAAGUGUGUGAGUAUCUACGCACGUUUAGAGUACCUCUACAGAGAACGCCGCGUCUCUCCGCG
rnacentral:rRNA from 1 species